UCCGCAUCAUUGCAGAAAGCGCUGUGGUCAGGCACAGUGGACGCCUCAUAAUACACAUAAAACCUAGCGGUAAAACCCGGUAAUGGUUCCAAUCGUUUUUCCCCAUUCAUUUUGCGUCUGGAAUUUUAGAACUACUUUAAAUAAGGUCUGUGUUUCGUGUAGGCGUACCCUGGCGUGACGUGUUGAUAUCCAUGUAAUUCUCUCUCAAACAAGAGUGAGAGUACAUCACUUCCAGCAGAUCUCCUUGCCGAGGAUGGUGUUGAUCAUGCACUUCUUCUCGUGGGGCUUGAUCUGCUGUAGUCUCCACAUCCGGAUCACAAUGGCACAGGAUGUCCAUGCACCGGGUGGCCUGUGGGAUGCGCUCCUGUUGGACUGGAAAACAAAGAGACAUUUGUCUGGAUCUUCCUCUUCUGCCAUGGUGGAUGAGCUACCUUUUCUGGUAAAUACAGGACCAUUUUAUCUUUCCCACCGGAAAAUGGCAGCUGCAGACCCGGGUGUUGUCACUGGGUUUCCGGUCCGCCCAUCUGAAAGACAAACAAAAAAGUUACUUUUACUAGCUAGUUAAGUUGAUUACUAAAAUGGUAACAUCUAUAUUAAAAUACAAUAACCCACAGACUUGACUAUAGUAACUGUAACAUAGACUGGGCUUUGCUCUAUCUGCAUAUCUAAAAUCCUACUAUGUAGAUAAGAUAUUUCUGCUGGGAUGGAGGAAUUAUCUGUAAUGCUCAACUAGAUGAUCAGGACAGUCUAGAGUACUAUUUGCCCGAAGGGGUGAAGUAUUGCAAUGAGCUAUAUGGCUAUACUUCUGAUUCUAAUUCUCAAGAGGAAAGUUAAAACCCUUAGCCGUAAGGUUUUUGUGAUUUCCAACUUGUUGUUUAUGUCCAAUGGCCGAUGAGCACCAAUAUGUUUUA